GGUGUGGCAGGUUAAAAUGGAAUGCUGAUGGGGAGUGCUUUGACAGAGAUGCUGUGCACCUUUCAGGACACUGAUGCUUCCAGACUUCAUCCCACAGCUCAGUGAACUCAUUUCCAAAGCAAAUUCUCUUUAACAGCUUUGCAUCAAGUACGUGCAAGGAUGGGUUGUGUAAAUUGUUAAAUGUGAAGACAAAGACCAAUUUUCAAUUUCACCUGAAGACAAAAUAAAACUUUAGGAAAAGAA